UGAGGUAGUAGGUUGUAUGGUUUAGAAUUACACCCAGGAGUUAACUGUACAACCUUCUAGCUUUCC
rnacentral:pre_miRNA from 1 species